rnacentral:rRNA from 1 species
UACGGAGGGGGCUAGCGUUGUUCGGAAUUACUGGGCGUAAAGCGUACGUAGGCGGCUUUGUAAGUUAGAGGUGAAAGCCCGGGGCUCAACUCCGGAAUUGCCUUUAAGACUGCAUCGCUUGAAUCAUGGAGAGGUGAGUGGAAUUCCGAGUGUAGAGGUGAAAUUCGUAGAUAUUCGGAAGAACACCAGUGGCGAAGGCGACUCACUGGACAUGUAUUGACGCUGAGGUGCGAAAGCGUGGGGAGCAAACAGGG